AGCAGCCGCGGUAAUUCCAGCUCCAAUAGCGUAUAUUAAAGUUGUUGCAGUUAAAAAGCUCGUAGUUGAAUUUCGGGAUUGACGUGAUGGUCAUGCCUUAAGGGGUAUGAACUGUUACAGUUGAUUUCUCACCUUCUGGAGAAACUUGAUGUCCUUUAUUGGGUGUCUUGCGGAUCCAGGACCUUUACCUUGAAAAAUUAGAGUGUUUAAAGCAGGCAUUUUUGCUCGAAUACAUUAGCAUGGAAUAAUAGAAUAGGACGGCAUGGUUCUAUUUUGUUGGUUUCUAGGAUCACCGUAAUGAUUAAUAGGGAUAGUUGGGGGCAUUAGUAUUCAAUUGCCAGAGGUGAAAUUCUUGGAUUUAUUGAAGCUAACUACUGCGAAAGCAUUUGCCAAGGAUGUUUUCAUUAAUCAAGAACGAAAGUUAGGGGAUCGAAGACGAUCA
rnacentral:rRNA from 1 species